UCGGCGGGGCCGGGGGCCGGCAGCAGCGCUGGAGAAAUAACAACCCUAAACCGAGCAAGUGUGCCCUUACCAGACAGCUAAAUUACUCUUAAGGCUGCGACAGAACCCAGGUUAUACAGGUUUGCAACUAAACAGGAAAGAAAAACUGUGAGAAAGCUUAACUGUUGAUCAACUGAAGACACUAUUGCUGCAAGAAAUUACUAUGACAAGACUGAUCCUACUUCUUGGACAUCUGAUCCUCUGCCUAAACGUCAAGAGAGAAUUUUGCGUGCACAUGGAAUGAGGAACCAAAAUCCAUCUGUCAGUGGCCAAAGGAGUCAUAAACAGCCAAAUGGAACAAACAGAAGAUCCUAGAGUAAGAAAAAACCCCGUAAUUAUUCAGAUUUACUCAGUUUACAAAGACUUACUCAUUCAUGUGAUCUUUUUACAUGGUCCUAUUAAAUUGCUAGUCCUUUGAGACUUUCAUUGUGUACUGCAAAGCGAAAGAGAGAAGCACUUAAUAAAGUAAUUGGCCUGUACCAAA